CUUCUCAAAUGAUUUGUAGGAAAUAUUUUAUUUUGUCUUGUUCUAUAAUCUCUUAUAUGUUUCAGCUUUCCAGUUCUUAUAAAUAAUUAGAAUCAGUGUUUGUUCGUGUUGAAUCAGUGUUUGUCGUGUUGAAUCAGUGUUUGUUCGUGUUGAAUCAGUGUUUGUUCGCGUUGAAUCAGUGUUUGUUCGCGUUGAAUCAGUGUUCGUUCGCGUUGAAUCAGUGUUGGUGCUCUUUAGUGUUAUAUAAGUUGGUUAAAUAAAAUUAAAUUGAAUGCAAAAUUGUGAUGUAGAGUGAGUGUUAGUGGAUAUUAUUCAUCAUGGGGCAUAUAUAUCAUCAUGGGGCAGGAUGCUCAUCGUGCGAAGGAUCGACAAAGGCUGUGUUGAAGUAUAAGAAGAAUCAUUCAUCAUCAUCCAGUCCUGGAGCAGGAUGCUUAUCGUGCAAAGGAUCAACAAAGACUCCAAUCGUCAUUGCAAUCGUGCGCGUGGCAAUGGAUGGAGUAUUGUAUCGUUUAAAUCAAAUAAAAAUCGCGAAUUAGAAGCACCGUUCGUCCGUUCAUUUAAAUUCGUUCGCGUUACGCGACUGAAAUUUUAGAAAUGCAAAUAUUUAAAUCGACUGCGAGCAAUGUAGUCAUUUAUAG